rnacentral:rRNA from 1 species
GACAGGGGAUGCAAGCGUUAUCCGGAAUGAUUGGGCGUAAAGCGUCUGUAGGUGGCUUUUUAAGUCUGCCGUCAAAUCCCAGGGCUCAACCCUGGCCAGGCGGUGGAGACUACUAAGCUGGAGUACGGUAGGGGCAGAGGGAAUUUCCGGUGGAGCGGUGAAAUGCGUAGAUAUCGGAAGGAACUCCGGCGGCGAAAGCGAUGCACUGGCUGGUUUCUGACGCUGAGGCACGAAAGCGUGGGGAUCAAACAGG